CCCCUAGAUGUUCUGGGCCGCACGCGCGCUACACUGAACAGUUCAACAAGUCUUAACCUUGGCCGAUAGGUCUGGGUAAUCUUUGAACGCUGUUCGUGAUUGGGAUAGACCUUUGCAAUUAUGGGUCUUCAACGAGGAAUUCCUAGUAAACGCAAGUCAUCAGCUUGCAUUGAUUACGUCCCUGCCCUUUGUACACACCGCCCGUCGCACCUACCGAUUGAAUGGUCCGGUGAAAUCUCGGGACGGCGGCUUGGUCGCUUGCGUCCGACUGCUGAAACUUGAUUAAACCAUAUCAUUUAGAGGAAGGUAAAGUCGUAACA
rnacentral:rRNA from 1 species